CCUACGGGAGGCAGCAGUGAGGAAUAUUGGUCAAUGGACGAGAGUCUGAACCAGCCAAGUAGCGUGAAGGAUGACUGCCCUAUGGGUUGUAAACUUCUUUUAUAUGGAAACAAAAUGUUCCACGUGUGGGAUUUUGUAUGUACCAUAUGAAUAAGGAUCGGCUAACUCCGUGCCAGCAGCCGCGGUAAUACGGAGGAUCCGAGCGUUAUCCGGAUUUAUUGGGUUUAAAGGGAGCGUAGGAGGGUUGUUAAGUCAGUUGUGAAAGUUUGCGGCUCAACCGUAGAAUUGCAGUUGAAACUGGCAGUCUUGAGUACAGUAGAGGUGGGCGGAAUUCGUGGUGUAGCGGUGAAAUGCUUAGAUAUCACGAAGAACUCCGAUUGCGAAGGCAGUUCACUGGACUGCAACUGACACUGAGGCUCGAAAGUGUGGGUAUCAAACAGGAUUAGAUACCCGAGUAGUC
rnacentral:rRNA from 1 species